ACGGAGGAUGCAAGCGUUAUCCGGAAUUAUUGGGCGUAAAGCGUCCGUAGGCGGUUACGUAAGUCAGUUGUUAAAGACUGCAGCUCAACUGUGGGAGAGCAACUGAAACUGCGUGACUAGAGUGUGGUAGGGGUAGAGGGAAUUCCUAGUGUAGCGGUGAAAUGCGUAGAUAUUAGGAAGAACACCAGUGGCGAAGGCGCUCUGCUGGGCCAAUACUGACGCUGAUGGACGAAAGCUAGGGGAGCGAAAGGG
rnacentral:rRNA from 1 species